UCUCGGCUUCCCUUCAUGAUUAGAAAUGUAUUAUUUUGCUUUUAGUUUGAAAGUCAUUGACGCUAACUUGAUUCCGGUAAGAACAAACGUCCCCGUGCCCGCUUACGUGAGUGUGUAAACUAGCCAAUCAAACUGUACUAACGCUCGUUUUAAAUUACCGCGUCAGCCGGUAGUGCGGAGUUAGCACGUCUCCGAGUGGAAGGCUGCUUACGGAGUCACCGCCCCGCCGUGUGUCAUUCCUCAUUACAGCCUCAGGAUGUUCAAGUUAGUGCUACUGCUCCUGGCACUGUCAGGCCUCCAAGCUGUCCCAAUCAAAACCCCUAGAGGUUUGAAGAAGUCAUCAAGUGAUGUCCAUCAAUUCCUUCCUGAUGGCUUUAGACAAGCCGAUGCUGAUGUUCCGGUCCAAAGGAGUGGUGGUAGUUGGGUCCGUGUGGAAAAUCCUUCUCAUCUCCCAGAUGGUUUCAGGCAGGGAACCGAACCCUCUAUGAAAGUCAGAGAUGGCUUCAGGCAGGGAACCG